rnacentral:tRNA from 1 species
GGGUGUGUAGUUCAGUCCGGAAGAACCGCUGAGGGCGCGAGUCCGCGCGGCGCGUCGUUCGCGAGAGGGGAGUGCUCGGACAGCAGGUCAGCAGGCCCGGGGUUCGAAUCCCCGCAUACCCA